rnacentral:lncRNA from 1 species
AGAGGUAUUUAAGUCUCUAGGCCACCUUGGCCGGUUCUGUCACUGGACCAGAGCAUGGAAGCAGAGCUAGGUGACAGGAUGUCAAACCCAGGGAACCUUUCAAAAGAAAAGUGCCAGAGCCAUCCACACAGGAAACGAACUGUGUUCACGAAGAAACAAUUGGCGGAUAUGAACUUAUUUUUCAAUACAAACCCAUACCCCACGCCCAGCCUUCAGAGAGAAAUGGCCUCAAAAAUGGAAAUGCAUCCAAGAGCCCUGCAGGUUUGGUUUAAGAACCGUAGAGCGAAACUUGAGAAAGCCAAAUGCAAGGAUUUUCAGCCAGCACACGAAGCUCAACGAGAAGCUCAACGAAGGCCAUUAGCUGAGGCCAGAGUCCGGAUCAGCUCCUCCAGGGGACAAACGACUACACCUCCCAGAAACCCUCAUGCUGCCUCUCCAGCAUCUCUAGUCUAUACAGAUCAUCCACGACCUUCCUUCCAACUCAGCAUAUGGACCAGUUUGAAGACUCUCACACACCAACCUCUUGGCCACAAAAUGGUGCAUUUCGGCUGCUGCCAAGACCCUAACAUAUACUGCCUCUCUCCCAUUUCAGAAUCCCAAGCUCCCUCCACAAGCUUCUGUUCUAAUUCUCUUGGCCUUUUGUCAUCACAAAGAACUCAGAGACGCUAGACACAGAAAGUCACAUCGUACUGUGAUGUGUAAUGAUUCCCAUUCAAGGAAAUACUUCUCAGCAGUAAAAAGGAAAAAACAGGGAGUUACCGUCAUGGAAACGAAUCCGACUAGGAGCCAUGAGGUUGUGGGUCCGAUCUCUGGCCUUGCUCAGUGGGGAUGGUUCAGGAUCCCGCGUUGCCGUGAGCUGUGGUGGAGGUCAUAGGCACAGCUCGGGUCUAUUGUGGCUGUGGUGGAGGUCGACAGGUUCAGCUCUGAUUCAACCCCUAGCCUGGGAACCUCCAUAUGCUGCAGGUGAGGCCCUAAAAAGCAGAACAAAGAAAAGAAAAAGGCACCCCAGCCUUGUGUAGCUGCUGACUUGUGCUGAGGUUCUGGCACCUCUGCUCCACCUGGGAGCUUCAGAACAGUCGCUGGGCUUCACGGUGGUCCGGAAGCCAGUUCCUCCCCACUGGCCAGCCCUCUUCUCAAUGUACUCUCCCCACCACCAAGUCCCCUUUUUGUCAGCUGUCAUACUACAGGGGUAGAGGUGGCCUAACAGGAUUUCAGUUUCUUCUUCCCCUCAUUCUCUUGCCCACUGGAGACACCCACGCUAACCUGUCUCAAGAGCCGCCCCAUUGUGUUUGCUUUUUAUAGCAGGUGUUCGCCUACGCCAUUUAUGGUACCUUCCCAGAAGCCCCUCUGCUAGUUUCCCUGAUAACUAAUGAACCAAGCAGACAUCAAUUCCCCCUGUAAUUGGCCAUAUCCCCCCCACCUGCCGCACGGGGGGGAGGGGGAGGAGGGGGAGGAGGGAGGAGGUGGCACGCGAAGACCCCCACCCCCCUCCACCAGCCACACACGGUGGGGAGUCGCUCCAGGACCUUGCUUCAGACGUGUAGCUCCCUCCAUCCAUUAAACCACUGAUGUCUCUCUUGCUGACUCUGGGGUCUUUCUUUAGUCUUGAAGUCGGGCAAACGCUAUUUUUUUUUCUUGUCGAUGAUUUCCUUUGCUGUGA